AGUGAACGCUGGCGGUAGGCCUAACACAUGCGAGUCGAACGGCAGCACAGUAAGAGCUUGCUCUUACGGGUGGCGAGUGGCGGACGGGUGAGGAAUACAUCGGAAUCUACUUUUUCGUGGGGGAUAACGUAGGGAAACUUACGCUAAUACCGCAUACGACCUACGGGUGAAAGCAGGGGAUCUUCGGACCUUUCGCGAUUGAAUGAGCCGAUGUCGGAUUAGCUAGUUGGCGGGGUAAAGGCCCACCAAGGCGACGAUCCGUAGCUGGUCUGAGAGGAUGAUCAGCCACACUGGAACUGAGACACGGUCCAGACUCCUACGGGAGGCAGCAGUGGGGAAUAUUGGACAAUGGGCGCAAGCCUGAUCCAGCCAUACCGCGUGGGUGAAGAAGGCCUUCGGGUUGUAAAGCCCUUUUGUUGGGAAAGAAAAGCAGCAGGUUAAUACCCCGCUGUUCUGACGGUACCCAAAGAAUAAGCACCGGCUAACUUCGUG
rnacentral:rRNA from 1 species